UAGUGUUACUGCCCUUUUAGAAUUAGUCUAGCUGGUUUUCUGAUCCUUGCCAGAAAUUCCCCC
ensembl:snRNA U7 U7 small nuclear RNA